GAUGAACGCUGGCGGCGUGCUUAACACAUGCAAGUCGAACGGACGGCGAAGAGCUUGCUCCUCAAAGUUAGUGGCGGACGGGUGAGUAACGCGUGGGUAACCUGCCCUAUGCAGGGGGAUAACGUUUGGAAACGAACGCUAAUACCGCAUAAUCUAGUUGGUUCGCAUGAACUAACUAGCAAAGAUUUAUCGGCAUAGGAUGGACCCGCGUUGGAUUAGCUAGUUGGUGAGAUAAAAGCCCACCAAGGCGACGAUCCAUAGCCGGCCUGAGAGGGUGAACGGCCACACUGGGACUGAGACACGGCCCAGACUCCUACGGGAGGCAGCAGUGGGGAAUAUUGCACAAUGGGCGCAAGCCUGAUGCAGCGACGCCGCGUGAAGGAUGAAGGUCUUCGGAUCGUAAACUUCUAUCAGCAGGGAAGAACAAAAUGACGGUACCUGACUAAGAAGCCCCGGCUAACUACGUGCCAGCAGCCGCCGUAAAAC
rnacentral:rRNA from 1 species